GCGCGGGGCUCGCCGAGAUAUCGCCAGCAAACACAGCUCGACAGCGUGCUUUUGUGGCUCAAAGCAUAGGCCUAAAAUGCGCUGGAUUCAGGAGAGUUUUUAGCCAGACAGGAGACGUGAGAGACACAGACGGAGGAAUCCGUGGUAAAAUGCAGGUCAAGCUUCGCUCACAUUCAAACCUCCUCAUAAAGUUUUCAAUACAGCGUUGAGAGACAGUCGAGUUUGCUAUUAGAGCAAGAGGUUUGAAGCUAUAGGAAAGAUCCCUCUGAAAGGUUUUACCAUCGGCCAUGUUGCACUGAGACUGAUACUCGAGGCGUUUUAGGUUCCUCAUAAGGCUGCAACCCACUGGAGAACCCCUUGUGUAUUGUGUACUUGAAGGAACUUUUUUUUUUUCAGGUGCAUCAAAGCCUUUACCUAACCAGUCUUUAGAGAAUUUUAGAAACAGCUCUUUAGAGAAACGGUCUAUUAUUAAUCUUCU